rnacentral:rRNA from 1 species
UACGUAGGGUGCGAGCGUUGUCCGGAAUUAUUGGGCGUAAAGAGCUCGUAGGCGGUCUGUCGCGUCUGCUGUGAAAACCCGAGGCUCAACCUCGGGCCUGCAGUGGGUACGGGCAGACUAGAGUGCGGUAGGGGAGAAUGGAACUCCUGGUGUAGCGGUGGAAUGCGCAGAUAUCGGGAGGAACACCGGUGGCGAAGGCGGUUCUCUGGGCCUUACCUGACGCUGAGGAGCGAAAGCGUGGGGAGCGAACAGG